GCUGGGCAUGGUGGCGCGUGCCUGUAAUCCCAGCUACUCAGGAGGCUGAGGCAGGAGAAUUGCCUGAACCCAGGAGGCGGAGGUUUCGGUGAGCCGAGAUUGCGCCAUUGCACUCCAGCCUGGGUAACAAGAGUGAAACUCAGUCUCAGAAAAAAAAAAAAAAAAGAUGAAGUUUAGCUAUUGUUGCCCAGGCUGGAGUGGAGUGGUGCGAUCUCAGCUCACCGCCUCCUCUGUCUCCCGGGUUCAAGUGAUUCUCCUGCCUCAG
rnacentral:SRP_RNA from 1 species